rnacentral:lncRNA from 10 species
CUCACUUGUAACCAACGGCAUGUUGGUUACAGAUGUGAUUUUUCAUGACUUCUGAGACUAGAUCAUAAGAGGCCGCCACCUCCAACCAAUCGGACUGGCUCUUCUGUCAUUCGGGUCACCUCCGCUGAGAUGCCUUCCCUGACCACCCAAGUUGAAGGAACUGCUAACCUUUUCUCUUGGACUUUGUUUUUUAUUUCCUUCACAGUAUUUCUCCCCUCUAAAAUUAUCUUGUCUGCUUCUACCUAUAUUGCCUUCCCUCUUGAAACCUAAGUUCCAUAAACUGAGGCACAAAUUCUGCCUUGUUCAUCUCUGUUCUCAGCACUCUGAACAGAACCUGGCAUGAAUGAGGUGCUCAAUAAAAGUUACUUGGAUGAAUCGGCA